rnacentral:misc_RNA from 1 species
GGGUUUGGUGCGGGGCCGGCGCUUGUGUAAUCAGGAUUGUGAAUCAAUGGGAGAUACCUGGAAUUCUAUUACAUAGUUUAGGUGACACUUGGCAAAAUACACCCUUACAAUCUUGCUAUCUUGCAAGUGAAUCAAAUGGUUUUUGACUUGGUCUUCCAUCAACAUUGUGGUCGUUUUGUUAGGCUUUAAGCAAAACAGAGCCAGUGAUGGUUCAUUUAUUCUAUAACUGGAAUUUAAAUAUAACUCUCCAAAUUACCUUAAUGUUCUUUACAUAAAAAUGCAGCCCUUUUUUUUUUUUUUUU